GAUGCGUGGUACCCCAGUUGGAAGAGCAUUGGCCCAGAAAUUUAAAGUUUCCGGGUUCAAGCCCCGGCUGCAUCA